UUGAAAUAGCGAUACUUGAUGAAUUAAGCUUCUUUCAACAAGUAAUUUAAACUGAUUAAAGUAAUAAUUGUUGCAUCUUUCGAUAUUCUCAUUCUUUUAGGUGCAUCAAAAGCGUUACCUACGCCAUAUGGACAUAAGAGUGGAUUAUAGUCUCUCGCUGAAAUGUGAUAACUCAACUGGAUGAUGGAUUGCAAUGUUAAUCUUUUUUCAUGUUUAGAUAUUUUUCUCAUGUAAGAUAGUUUUCGAUGUUAUUUUAUUUGGUGUUAAUGCUCUUCUAAAAAGAACUAUACAGAUCAAAAGAGUAAACCUUUUGUUGAAGUUGAUUCAAUACUUGGUUGAUGCAAAGUCUAUGACUUACGCAUUAAUACAAAGUCAUAGGCAUUACAUUUAUAGUCAAAUACAUUAUUAAUAAACAGACAUCAAUGAAUAAACUGAUUUGUGAGCCAUUUAUGCAAUCAUUUGGAUUCAAUUUUCAUUUGCAAUGGAACCUGAGAAAGAAACUGAUGUUCCUGCUCUUGCACCAUAUUCAUCAUUUCUUUACCUUUUCAUACUGAUGAUAAUGCAUCAUUGAAGCUCUCAUUUUUCCUUUCAUCACUCCUACAAUCACUUUUUCUUGCUCCUAUUCAAAAAGUAUUACUCACUUGAGAAAUCCUAUUUUGUCUAUCCUUUGCUACUUCUUUCCCUGUGAUUCUGUUUUAGGUACCACAUGAAAGAAAAGACAGAAAAGAAACAAACAAAGGCAAACAAAAAAGUCAAGAGAGAAUUAAAGAAACCACUUAGCUAUUGAUUUAAUUCACUUGAGCAACUUUCAAUGGACCAGUUCGAUCAUCAUUUUCAUUGUUGUCGUUGGCAACGUAACCACUGCCAUACCUCGACUACUCAUUAAAGGCCCAUUCCAGAGUUGAACCAUGAUUUACAUCGAGCCUGUUAUUGACCAAUUUUCAGAUGAAGAGUUCAAAUGAUCUGAAAGAAGCAGGAUUGUCAAAAGCCAAUAACAAGAGGAUUGUAAAGCCUCAAGUUCGUCGAUUUCACUCUCUAUUGCCACUAAAUGAUGUUAUACAUUUGGUUGAAAAGCAUCUUUCGGGUGGCCUUACAAUAGAAAGUGGUGUUACAAUGAAGAGUAAAUGGGAUUCCUAUGGAGAAACAACAAGCAAACAAAAUGAAGGGAAAGCAAAAAAUGAAAAGAGGAGCAAUAUUAUGAUGGAUUAUCUUCUUCAAGAUUCCUUUUGACUCUUCUUUUUGUGUUUGAAUCAAUUUAACAACACAAUACUACACUCAUAAGAUCAUUAAACUAUCAACAACAACACCGGCAACACCAUCAACAUCACCACCAUCAGGAUCAACAGAGAAACCUCAACACAAAGAGAAAAAUAAACAGAAAGGAAAAGUAUAAUUCAUCCCUUUUUUCAGUGAUGUGGUGUUUUGUGUGUAUAAAAAAAGCUGAACAAUACAAACAUUGAAUAAUAGCAUCUUCUUGAAAAAUAUUUUCACACAAACUGCUAUUCAUAAAUUGAACUUGAUAUCUACACAUAAACACACAUACACACAAAUAUCCACAUGAUUAACCUUUCUUUAACUUUUAUUAAUGAAAUCAGAUUCCUUUAUUCAUCCAACAUUAACAUUUAAAAAAUUUACUUUUAAUUAUCUUUGUAACCUUUCAUUGACAACAAAACAUUUUUUACACCAACACACAAAACUAUUUCAUUGUAUUUCACCUUUUCCAUACAAUGUAAUGGUAAUGUAAUAUUUUUAUACCAAAUAUUAAUUUGAUUUUUUUUCUUCUUCUUUUUUCUUCUUUCCUCUUCUUUCAUAAUUUCAAUUCAGAUGACAAUUGAUUGGAUCAACUCAAGGAGAUGAUGAUUAUGAUGAUAUUAUUAUGAAUAAAAGCCUGAACCAUUUGAGUUAUGCCUUAAGGAUAAACAUUUUUCUUUCCCUAACCUGAUUUGUUGGUGAAAUUGCAACAAACACUCGAUAAAGAUAAAUUACGUGAUUUAGCAAGCUGAGCAUUUCAUGUUUCAUCUUGUUUUACCAGAUUAAUUGUGAUCACAUUUAUUCAAUCAUCAAUUUUUCAUUGCAUUUUCCCUUUCCCUGUCCUUGAAUAAAUUUCAAGCUGAUGAAUGAUGAUAAGGAAAUGAAUGGCCACAAGCAAAGGAUCUUGAAAAAAAGCCAAAACUCAAUUGACUUUCCAUGAGACUGACAAAAAAGAGGAAAAAAAACGUUCAACAGAUUAAAUGUUCAAUGAAUUUACAUAUUAAUGGUUGAAAUGAAAUGAUAAUACCCAGCAAGAUGAUGUUCAAUUGUACGUUUAAUUAAAAGCGCAAAAUUUGACAUUUAUACAUCUUUAUAAUGGCUGGAUGUUUCAGUAAACAUUAAAACACAAUUUUGUUCCCAUA